AAUUUUGGACAAUGGGCGCAAGCCUGAUCCAGCCAUGCCGCGUGAGUGAAGAAGGCCUUCGGGUUGUAAAGCUCUUUCGGUGGGGAAGAAAUGGUUCGUGCUAAUACCACGGACUGAUGACGGUACCCGAAGAAGAAGCACCGGCUAACUACGUGCCAGCAGCCGCGGUAAUACGUAGGGUGCAGGCGUUAAUCGGAAUUACUGGGCGUAAAGCGUACGCAGGCGGUUUGCUAAGACAGGUGUGAAAUCCCCGGGCUUAACCUGGGAACUGCGCUUGUUACUGGCAAGCUAGAGUGUGGCAGUGGGGGGUAGAAUUCCAGGUGUAGCAGUGAAAUGCGUAGAUAUCUGGAGGAAUACCGAUGGCGAAGGCAGCCCCCUGGGUUAACACUGACGCUCAUGUACGAAAGCGUGGGGAGCAAAC
rnacentral:rRNA from 1 species